rnacentral:rRNA from 1 species
GACGAACGCUGGCGGCAUGCCUAAUACAUGCAAGUUGAACGAUGAUAUUCUCUGCUUGCCGAGAAUUGAAGAGUAGCGAACGGGUGAGUAACACGUGGGGAACCUGCCCAUGAGAGGGGGAUAACAUUCGGAAACGGAUGCUAAUACCGCAUAAUGCUUUGGACCGCCUGGUCCAGAGACGAAAGACGGCUUUUGCUGUCACUCAUGGAUGGCCCCGCGCCGUAUUAGCUAGUUGGUGAGGUAAUGGCUCACCAAAGCUGUGAUACGUAGCCGACCUGAGAGGGUGAUCGGCCACACUGGGACUGAGGCACGGCCCAGACUCCUACGGGAGGCAGCAGUAGGGAAUCUUCCACAAUGGGCGAAAGCCUGAUGGAGCAAUGCCGCGUGAAUGAAGAAGGUCUUCGGAUCGUAAAGUUCUGUUAUUAGAGAAGAACAAGUCAAGGAGUAACUGUCUUGACUUUGACGGUACCUAACCAGAAAGUCACGGCUAACUACGUG